rnacentral:rRNA from 1 species
CUUUACUGCAGCUUGAUAUUGAGUUGCAAAUAUGGAUGCGUAGCAUAGGUGGGAGACGGUGAUGGAGGGGUUUCGGCCCCUUCGGAGUCACAAUGUGAAAUACCACCCUUCUCUAUUUGCAAUUCUCACCCGGCUAAAACCGGGGACAGUGUUUGGUGGGCAGUUUAACUGGGGCGGUUGCCUCCUAAAUGAUAACGGAGGCGCGCAAUGGUCAGCUAUCUCCGGAUGGAAAUCGGAGAGUUUGUGUAUUCGCAUAAGCUGGCCUGACUGGGAGACCAACGAGUCGAUCAGACGCGAGAGCGGGCGAAAAUGAUCCGGCACCUGCGCAUGGAAGCGGUGUCGCUCAACGGAUAAAAGUUA